UGUUUAAUAAGAAGGUUUGAAUGAUGUUCUGCGGUUUUCAUUAUCUCAGCUAAUGAUGCAAGUUAAAAUAAAUUACGCCCUGGUCAUUCUGUAAUUGGCGGUCUCACGGUGGGGAAACCAAAAAUGCAACGUCAUCAAAACCCAACGCAAAUGAGCUGUCCACACCAGAAUUAACGUCGAUUCAGGAAAAGAAAUGGACCAGAAUUCUGCUCAAGUCUGCAGAUUCUGCGGAAAGGUAUUGUCAAACAAAUCAGCGCUUCGGCAGCAUGAAGCAGUUCACACUGGACUUGGCCGUUACCAGUGCUGUGAGAACGUGUUAACUUAACACGUCACAGAUGUUCAAAACAUGAUGAAGUACGCACAUUUGUUUGUGUGGAGUGCCACAAGGCAUUUCCUACAAAUGCCGACCUGACACGCCAUAAGAAGCGCGAGAAGAAAAUUGGUUUGAAAUGUGAUAUUUGUGGUGUAACAGUUGCCGGAAAAACUGAUCUUCAAGAACAUUUAGACAGCCAUAGCAGGGAGAAGAACUAUAGAUGUGAGGAAUGUGGACGGGUCUACAAAUACCGACGGAAUCUAAGCCGGCACAUGAAAUCUCACAAGAAGGAUUAGAAUCUCUUUCCCGCAUGGUGCUUAAGGUAGUUUUGCAAGUCCGGAUUCAUUUUAAUACAAUCUAAAUUUUGAGUAAACCUCGAAUUUAAAAAAAAAAAAAAAUUUAAAAUCUUUUUUUUUUUUUUUGGUACAUAUAAAGCGGAAGGGUCAUGUUUUUUCUUUUUCUCGCUAGAUAGAAUGUUUUAAUCUGACAGAAAGUUAUCGUAACAGGAACCUCAGUCGUUAAUAUAUGCUACUGUCUGAAAUAUGAUGAAAAAGAAUGUAUAUGUCCGUGAUGUACUUUCUUAUCUAUUUAGCAUUUUUGAUUUUUCAAUUUUUUUUUUCUGUAGGAAUACAGAAUUGUUUUCAUUUUUUGAUCUCGGAUUUCACAUUCAAGAAAUGGACUUUUCUUCCGCUUGUUGAAUCCUGGUUUAAGUCUACGUAAUGAUACAUUGUAUGCCUUUCUGGGUUAUCAACUUAUCAAACGUGCAGAUUUACCUUAAGUGAUAUUUUUGUAUUGAUCAGUUUAGGUUGUACGGUUGUGUAUGAUAAAGAGACCUGUUUCAUGUUUUCUGAAUACAAAAUGUUUGUAUCUAUGAAACGGUGUGUGACAUAUAUAAAUAUACUCAAGAGCAAAUACUCAAUGUCAGACGUAGGGCAUUUAUGAUUCUCUUGUUUGUUUGUUUGUUUUUUUUUUGUGUGUUUGUUUUUUUUUUUGUUUGUUUUUUAUUUAGUUGUGUUUAUUGAUUAUCUGAUAGAUAAUUUGUAUUUGCAAUAAGACUGUUGUGAUCAUUAUUUUUUAAAUUCGUACCUUUUUAAACUUUUUGUAUUUGAAAUAUAGAAACAAACGUAUUAUAUAAUGGCGGGUGCGUACAUGCGUUCGUCCGUAAUAUUUUAAGUCCAGAGCAGAGCAAUGUUCCGAUUUUCGGAGUUAUUGGUUAACAUGUCGAGAUGUUUCGACAGAAAAUUAAAAGAAAGAAAAAAUCAUGAAAAAUGUCAACCCGUACGUCUUGUUUUGAAUUCAGCUGUUUAUCAUUGUAACCGUUCAAAUUUAGAACUGCUGACAUAUAUGUCACAGGUCCAUCUUAAAUGCAUCGAGAAGGCUUUUAGCUAGGCCUAUAGUUUUCUAGAUACGUCUAUAUUGUUGAGUCGUUCAAGACUUCUUUGUAUACCAAAUGAGAUUCUUAGAUAAAUGAAAGUUUACAUAUGUAUGUUAUUUUUAUAUCGGUUGUGUUCAUUUGUUUGUGUUCUAAUUACUACAAUAAUGCGAUUUAAUCUGUGAUUUAUACAUGUGAUUUUAUCUGUGAUUCUAUUUUUAUUUUGAUAAUUAUGAAUAAUAUAUUUUAGAUAUAUAAUCAUAUACUGAUCAAAGCUUCUUACUAGACUAGGAUUUAAAUUGGCUGUUUGAACAUUUUAAGUGAACCGUAUAAUACGGAGUUUUAUGAAUAAAAACAACACUUUAAUCUUAGUGAAAAAAAUGAGGACGUAAGAGCUGGAUGAGAGUAUUAAAUAGUCUGUGUCUCUAUUGAUAUCAACUUGCAUGAUCUUGCAAAAUUCGUGCACUGCACAGCUACACGUAUAUUUCGUGGUCAAUAAGGAGAUUAUUUAAGAGCAUGUUUUACUUUUAGUCAAUACAAAAAUAGUUCAUGUUUGAUAUAUCUAACGUUACGUUUUAUGACGUUGAAUUAAAAAUGCAAUUGCAUAUUAUCAACAGUUCUGUAAGAAGUUUUGCUCAUUAGAAUUCUUUUGUUGAUAUCUGUGAUUUUUGAUAUUUAGUAUUUUAUGUCAGACCUACAUACAAUCAUUUACAAAUGAUUUUUUUUAAUAAAAACAGAAAUGUGAUUAAAAUAACAUCAUUUAUUGUUCAUUCAGCAUCCUUAGUUAAUAGAUAAAAAAAAUCAAAUGCAAUAAGGUGAAGCUUGUCG
rnacentral:lncRNA from 1 species